rnacentral:rRNA from 2 species
GACGUAGGUGGCAAGCGUUGUUCGGAAUCACUGGGCAUAAAGCGCACGUAGGCGGCCAAGUCAGUCAGGUGUGAAAUACCUCGGCUCAACCGAGGAACUGCGCCUGAUACUGCUUGGCUUGAGGUCCGGAGGGGAGAGUGGAAUUCCCGGUGGAGCGGUGAAAUGCGUAGAGAUCGGGAAGAACGCCGGCGGCGAAAGCGACUCUCUGGUCGGAAUCUGACGCUGAGGUGCGAAAGCUAGGGGAGCAAACGGG